GACGAACGCUGGCGGCGUGCUUAACACAUGCAAGUCGAACGGAAAGGCCCUGCUUUUGUGGGGUGCUCGAGUGGCGAACGGGUGAGUAACACGUGAGUAACCUGCCCUUGACUUUGGGAUAACUUCAGGAAACUGGGGCUAAUACCGGAUAGGAGCUCCUUCUGCAUGGUGGGGGUUGGAAAGUUUCGGCGGUUGGGGAUGGACUCGCGGCUUAUCAGCUUGUUGGUGGGGUAGUGGAUUACCAAGGCUUUGACGGGUAGCCGGCCUGAGAGGGUGACCGGCCACAUUGGGACUGAGAUACGGCCCAGACUCCUACGGGAGGCAGCAGUGGAGAAUAUUGCACAAUGGGCGGAAGCCUGAUGCAGCAACGCCGCGUGCGGGAUGACGGCCUUCGGGUUGUAAACCGCUUUCGCCUGUGACGAAGCGUGAGUGACGGUAAUGGGUAAAGAAGCACCGGCUAACUACGUG
rnacentral:rRNA from 1 species